rnacentral:rRNA from 1 species
ACGGGAGGCAGCAGUGAGGAAUAUUGGUCAAUGGGCGGAAGCCUGAACCAGCCAUGCCGCGUGAAGGAAUAAGGCCCUAUGGGUCGUAAACUUCUUUUGAGCGGGAGCAAUAAGGCGUACGUGUACGCCGAUGAGAGUACCGUUCGAAUAAGCAUCGGCUAACUCCGUGCCAGCAGCCGCGGUAAUACGGAGGAUGCAAGCGUUAUCCGGAUUCAUUGGGUUUAAAGGGUGCGCAGGCGGCGGGUUAAGUCAGCGGUGAAAUGCAGGGGCCCAACCCCGGCAGUGCCGUUGAUACUGGCGCGCUGGAAUGCGGUCGAGGCGGGCGGAAUGUGGCGUGUAGCGGUGAAAUGCAUAGAUAUGCCACAGAACUCCGAUAGCGAAGGCAGCUCGCCAGGCCUGCAUUGACGCUCAGGCACGAAAGCGUGGGGAUCGAACAGGAUUAGAUACCCUGGUA